UUAAGGAAAAUGCACAGGAUUGAAACUUAAAAUACCAUUUCCUUCUCUGGCAGCAGGUACUUGAGACUUCUGGCCUCGGUGGCUCUGCUUUGGGAUAAGCCUGUUUGGCUGUGCAUUUCCCCAUGAGGGAAUGGGAUUAAAAUACGUAAAAAUUGGAAGUCCAAAUAUUUUUUCAGCAUUCCUGAGGAUCAUCUUACACACCCCUGGUUAUUUGUGCAGCCCCCACAGGAGCCUGAUGAGCCAUAAGGGGUUAAAAAACUUGUUGCUCAAAAGAAGGACCAAAAAAAAAAAAAGUU